AUUGAACGCUGGCGGCAUGCCUUACACAUGCAAGUCGAACGGCAGCACGGGAGCAAUCCUGGUGGCGAGUGGCGAACGGGUGAGUAAUAUAUCGGAACGUGCCCAGUCGUGGGGGAUAACGUAGCGAAAGCUACGCUAAUACCGCAUACGAUCUACGGAUGAAAGCGGGGGAUCGCAAGACCUCGCGCGAUUGGAGCGGCCGAUAUCAGAUUAGCUAGUUGGUGAGGUAAAGGCUCACCAAGGCGACGAUCUGUAGCUGGUCUGAGAGGACGACCAGCCACACUGGAACGGAGACACGGUCCAGACUCCUACGGGAGGCAGCAGUGGGGAAUUUUGGACAAUGGGCGCAAGCCUGAUCCAGCCAUUCCGCGUGCAGGAUGAAGGCCCUCGGGUUGUAAACUGCUUUUGUACGGAACGAAACGCGCCGGGUUAAUACCUCGGCGUAAUGACGGUACCGUAAGAAUAAGCACCGGCUAACUACGUGCCAGCCGCCGCCGUAAAAC
rnacentral:rRNA from 1 species